GCCCGGAUAGGCAAACUGGUAAAGCCCGCGGACUUAAAAUCCGCCGCCCGCAAGGGCAUUGCGGGUUCGAGCCCCGCUCCGGGCA
rnacentral:tRNA from 1 species